rnacentral:misc_RNA from 1 species
AUGCUUGAUUGUGAAUGUAGAUCAACCGUCCAUCUUCAGCCAUCCAAUACCAUCAAGAAAGAACAAACAUUGCUUUAUCUACGGUUCUUGGAAAACCAAAGGAAGCAAUCACUAUGCGCGUCAAGUUACCUUUAAGUCCAAACCAUGGUCAAUGAUCUUGAGCUAUCAAAUAUCUAUCAAGAGUCUUCCAAGAAAAUCCUUGUUGAAAUUUACUUAAACAAGACAUACAUUUGGAUCUUC